GGGAUUUCUUCUCGCAAUGAAUGGAAACUGGCACCUCUUGUCCUCUGUUGGGGGCAAAUGAAACUUUGUACUGUAGCCAGGGACCUCCUUGAUCUACCCUAUGGACUGCCAGGAAAUCCAUAUUCCCCAGUGCCAGAUGAAGACCUUUUUAUUUACCCAGGCCUUCUAAAUGCAUUUGAUUUCCAAUGCAGUUUAACGCUGGAAUUUUAUCUGCUCU